rnacentral:lncRNA from 1 species
GUGUGGUUCCAGUAACCACGGUGGCUGGAUGGGUGGUACUGGUUGGCCUCAUGGUGGAAGCAGAAGAGACCGUGUGUGGGCUGGCUGGCGUGCUGGGAGAGGUAGGUGCUACUGAGGUCGUCGUGAGGGUUGGAGAGACACUGGGAGGUAGGGUCUGGGGUUCAGAUGUGGUUGGAAAGGUGCUGGUGGUCGUGAGCGACGUUCCCGAGGUGGGUUCCGUUGUUUGUGGAGGGUGGGACACGGGCAGCGUGCGUGCGCUAUGGCUGGGUGAAUGGGUCUGCAGCGUGCUUGACGUGAUUUCCGUGUGUUGCAUUGUUGAUGCUGUCGCGGUGCCCCUGCUCUCCCUGGUAUGCUGUGUGGCCAGGGCGGUCUCUCCCAAAGUGUAUUGUUCUGUUGUCUGUGUGAGUGUGACCGGCCCUGUUCCUGGCAUUUUCUCUUGGGUGCUUGUCCCUGUGGGUGUAAAGGAGUGUCAUCAUGCAGUCUGUCUCUCCCUUUAGACCUCUGGUUUUUGCUCCCGUCUUGUUCCCUGUACCCCUUUCAGGCCAUCUGGGUUCCUUGAGCCAUUCAUAGGCGCUGUUACUCUGAACUUGAGGUUCCUCUUCCUCCCCACUUGUGCAGUCCCGGAUGUGCCGUUUGUGGUACUGGUUUUCGGCAUGGGGCCCCAGGGUUUGGUGUGUGCGUGGUUCCAGGCUGCCCCCCGUGUCCCCAUAUGCUGGUGGGCCCAUCCUUCCCCUUUAUCCUAUGGGAAGUCCUGGACUUCCUCCAUGGCUGACCUGCCGUGCUCAGCUGUGCUGGGACUCGUGGCCUGGGACUCCAGGUGUCCCAUGGGCCCUUGCUCACCUUGUCCAGGAUUCCUUGUCCACGUGCUCACGGUCAGUGGUACCACUGUGGUCCGUGCUGUGGACUGAGCUGUGGAUGUAGUGGCUGGGCUGGGGGAUGAUGCUGUGGGCUCUGUCGUUGCUGUAGUGACUGUAUAUCCUGUGGCUGUUGACAUCACCGUGACUGUAGGCACCCGAGGAGAGGUGGCAGGUGUGGUGACUGCCGUGGUGGUCGGAGGGGAUUCUGCAGGGAACAGGCCCUCUUUGUGUUCCCCAGCCCGUGUCUGAGGUCCCUCCCUUUCCUGAGACCCAGGCCCUUUCCUGCCUCAGCCUCCUGGAGGAGUACUGGCCUCUUGGCUUCCCUGCUCUGACCCUGCACCUUCCAUUGUCUGUGUGGCAGUGGUGUCCUGGUGCCAGGAGCAGUGAACACAGGGUCCUCUGGGCCCGCUGGGUGGACAGAUGUCCGGUCCCCUCAGUGCCUGGGCAGCAGGACAUGUCCUCC